rnacentral:lncRNA from 1 species
GAAAAAAUCUGGAAGAUAGGUAUCAAAUUCCAUGCUUUGUAUACGGAAAGUAUAUAUGUGGGAUGUGGGAAGGUUGACGAAUUCUUUUUAUUUAAUCUUUAGCAUUACUUGGAUUUAUUUGUAGCAAUAAGCUUAUAUUCAUGUAAUGAUUUUUGAUGAGAAAAUAUACUUACGUAUUGAAGUAAAAAAUGACCCAGGAAAAUUGCAGUUCUAGUCUAAAUAGUCACAUGAAUAUAUCCCUAGAAUAUCUUGAAGAGAAUAUAGUAUUGGCUAACAGUCAUCAUAGCUUGAUAGAGAAUAAAGUCUGUCAGACUUAUCUAACAGGGUGAAAAGCCUAGUCAAUUGAGGAAGGAACAAUGGAUAUAAUGUAGUUUUUAAAUAUUUUGCUUCUUACUGAAAAAUGCACUUCUCACUGUCCUGGAAAAAUAUAGACUGGGCUGCUGGUGAUAAAGGAUGGCAGUUAUAAAGUGGUAGACAAUUUCAAUCUGAGAUAAGAUAUAAUAUAUGGGAAUAAGAUGAACUUUAUUAUUUUAAUCAGUGAUCCAAAUUAUUAUAUGUUCACUCAAAAUACAGAUAGUAUAAUCAUGUAAUAUUUUUGUAAUGUUUUCUAUAAUCAGGUACUGGUUUGAAUAGAGGACAAAAAUAAAACAGAAGGUUUGAAGACUAAGUACUUCUUUUUAAGUGACUGAAACAUGUACUUGAAAAACACUUUAAGAACCUUUGUAAAAUAACAUUAAACUGAGUGUGUAAAUAUGCCUUGUAAAAAAAAAAGCAAUUAGAAUUCUGUAGAGUUAAUCACAGUGUGCUUUUGGGGAGGACCUGAGUUAAUCAGGGUUUAGGUGGAGUUUAGAUACUAGUUUGUCACAGAAGAGGGUAAUUCAGGUAAAGACAAAGCUUCCAAUGGGUGAGAGGAUUGGGAAGCUUAUUUUUACUAGUUUGAAAGCUGGGAUUAAAAUUCAGAGUAGCCUGGUAAAUUAGGGAAAUGAUUUGAAAUAAUAUACCGUACCUUUACUUUUAUGGUUCUAAAAUUUUAUUUCCCUGAAUGUAGUUUCGAAAAGAAAGAAGUAGAGAAAGGGGGAAAAAUUAUUUGCACAAAAAAUAAGGAAAUGAAUAGGUCCUUGCAAUUAUGACUAGAGAGUCCAUUGGAGUCUGAAGUGUUUUCUGAAUAUGAGUUGGAAAUGAAAACACUAGUUAAGGCAGCAAACAUGCAAGAAUACUAGCUAAGGUUCUUUUUUCUUUCACAAAUAAAUUUUUUACCCAGGUUGAUCCCUAGGAUCAAUAGUAAAUAGUACACAAUUAAAACUAUAAAUCAUCUAUAAAUGCUGAAAGUAACAAAGGAUGCAGCUUAUGUUUUCUCCAUUUUCUUUAUAAGUUUUGUUUGCAUCUAAUUUAUUUCCAGGUACCCCUAUGAUGUAAAUUACCAUCCAGUCUUCACCUACUACCAGAAAUUGAACUUUUUUAUUUCUUCUGAAAGUUUAAAGAGUUCUAAUAUGGCUCUGUAUUUUUUUUAGCUAAAAUGUCAUAGUGAAUUUCUUUAAACGGUGGUUAUUGUUGACUCAGUGUUUAUCUCUUUUUCACAAAGGGUUUGCCAGUGUCUUUCUUUGACAAACAUGUGUUGUUACUAUUAUGUGCUCACUGGGAUAGUGAGCAAAAAUAGACAUAGGUCUUGAUCUCCCGGAACUUAUAUCUAAAGAUAGAAAAGGAUAUUAAUGAAAUAAUCAUACAAAUAAAUGCAAAGUUGGAACUGUUUCAGUUGCUGUAGAGAGGUACGUAAUAUGAGGGCUUUUAGAAGGAGAAUUUACUCAGUGCGAUCAAGAGGAAUUUUUUUUUGGAGGAAGUGUUUAUUUAGCUGAGAUCUCAAGUAAGUUAAUUUGAUCAAGAUGAAGAAAAGAGUUUUCUGGGAAGAAGGAAUAGCAUAUACAGAGGUUCUGAGGUGGGAGGAAGCAUAGUACCGAAUAUUAAACAAAGGUCAAUGUGGCAGAAGUUUAGAGCAAGA